AGUGAACGCUGGCGGUAGGCCUAACACAUGCAAGUCGAACGGCAGCACAGUGAGAGCUUGCUCUUACGGGUGGCGAGUGGCGGACGGGUGAGGAAUACAUCGGAUUCUUCUUUUUCGUGGGGGAUAACGUAGGGAAACUUCUGCUAAUACCGCAUAUGACCUACGGGUGAAAGCAGGGGAUCUUCGGACCUUUCGUGAUUGUAUGAGCCGAUGUCGGAUUAGCUAGUUGGCGGGGUAAAGGCCCACCAAGGCGACGCUCCGUAGCUGGUCUGAGAGGAUGAUCAGCCACACUGGAACUGAGACACGGUCCAGACUCCUACGGGAGGCAGCAGUGGGGAAUAUUGGACAAUGGGCGCAAGCCUGAUCCAGCCAUACCGCGUGAGUGAUGAAGGCCUUCGGAUUGUAAAGCCCUGUUGUUGGGAAAGAAAAACAGCAGGUUAAUACCCCACUGUUCUGACGGUACCCAAAGAAUAAGCACCGGCUAACUUCGUG
rnacentral:rRNA from 1 species